UUUUUAUUUGUAUUAUCUCGCGGUGAUUAAUACGUUUAAAGUUGUUAACCCCAUUGCAUUAUUUAUGAGACGUAGGGGGAAACAACAACAGCAGCUCAGUCAUGUCAUACAGUGGAUUUUUAAACAGUAACAGCCAUGUUUCGAAACACGUUCGGGAUUUUUUUGAAUUGAAGCACAGAGCUGCAGAAUAUUACACAACAAACGGAGUGCCCCAGAAAAUAGAUGUGCUGAAUUCAAUGUUUUACAAAAAAAACUGAUGAUGUGUACGGGUAUUUGGCAAAUUACUUUUCCAAUUUUUCCAAGCCUCCACGGAUAACCAAUCUAGUGGGAAAAUAAGUGUAUGAUGGGAAAGGCCAGACAGCUGUCCAAGUGAAAGUACUGUGUACAGUUGAAAACAACAAAAAGAGUAUCUGCUCAGCAGCAAUAUCCAGUAACUGUGAACCACCCGGACCCAAUUAUGGUUUGCCCGAAGCUUGGGAGAUGGAUGAUACUAAAAGAAAGGAAUCUGUCUCGAUAGCUUUGCAAUGGAUCAAUGAGCCACUGGCAGCAUUGUUGAGGGGGCAUGAACCAGCUGAUCAGUUAAAAGCAGAUACAUUGCUAAGUAAUUGUUUUCAAGUGCAUGUUGCAGAAAAGCAGGAGCGAAUGGAGGAGGAAAGGAAACAACAAAAGCUGAUGUUGGCUGUGGAGCCUGAGCCACUGCCUCCACCUCAGCCUUCUGCUGCAAAUAAAAAAGAGAAACGGGCCUGUGGCAAAGGUUAUCUGUUUCCACUUGCACUCCAAGCCUGGUACUGUCUUCAAGUAUAUCAGUCAACAGGGGAAGCGGCUGGUUGGAUAAUGACAGCAAAGAAGCCAUUGGGGGUGGGGACAAUUUCACCCUCCAGGCAAAAAGACUAGUGUUCCAGAGAAGCCCAUCCCUCCAGCUGAACCACAAGACCCAGUGUUGCCGGGUAGCAUGGCAGUAGGAUCAGUGUCACUGACUGUCUGAAAAGCUGCUGCCAAAUUGAGUAGCAUUCCUAUUUUCCAGCAUAUUUUCGUAAUAAAUCAUUAACAGCCUAUCCUGAAAACAGUGUCUGAUCUGGGUGCCUUAGUGAUAGGAUUUGAAUGACUUGAACAGCCUUCGGAUCUCGUUCGAGAAGCUGCCAAGACUCUUCAACUUACAGUCGGAGAAGAUUUAUAUUUAGCAAUAAAUUGUGCUGCACAUACGCUAAUGGAUUAUCAAAAAGGCAAAUAUGAAGUGAUGACCGGAAUACUGAAGAAGCCGCUACCCAGCCGUUAUUGCUCUGAUAGAUCCCUUGAGGAAAGAGUGGAGGAGGAUCUGACAGUGCCUGGGUUCAGCAUUGUAAUCUUGAAACAGACCAAUCAGACAACUGUCUUAGACAUGACUGAAUCAACAGGCGCAUGAGAGAUCAGAAGCGUAUUACUGCGUUUGGAACUACAGAUGGAGAAUCUUCUGAUGAUUCCCUAGCAGAUCUUGGCUGUAUUGUGCACCAGAAUCCUGCUGUAGGAGUGGGAGCCAGGUUUAUCAAACUGGGAGGUCUGUGUCGUGGCGAGCGGGGUGACUAAAUACUGCCGCCUGCUUUCUAUAGAGGAUGAAUUGGCCCAGCAGGGAGCAUUGGAAAGAGGACAAAAUUACCUGACAUCCGUGUGAGGAAACUCAAAACCAAGCUAAGUCAUUUUGACAAGGACAGGGCAUUGUUAGGAAACACAGUGAUCUUGAAUUCAAUUCAAUUGAAACACACACUCUACCUGAGGCAGGCUUAACCCCUGAGGUGCUGGAGCUGAAUAUAGGGAUCUGGUAAACAGAUCUCUCCUUAAAAAGGUGUCUAUUUUAAAGGGCGAUUUGUUACUUAGCAAAUGAAAAAGUUUAAAAAGAGGCACACCCUUAUUAUAAUUUUCUAAAUAUUGUAGGAAUCUUUUUAGAAGCAGUUCCCUUAGUUGAAACAAAUACACAAUUUAAUAAUCCUGGUAAGCAAUCACCUAAGCAGAAACAGCAAUUGAUAAUUGUACAAAACAAAUAUAUUAGGACAGGGGUUUUCAACCUUUUUUUGAAACUGUACCCUUUCUGUCUGGAGGUUUCAACUCAAGUACCCCUUUACAAUUUUCACUCGACUGAAUGGUACUACAGUUGCAAUAAAAGGUAGAAUACUCUGAUUACACAUUUCUUUUUUCCCUCGUUUAUUUAAUCUAUAACUUAUGUCAACAGUUUGCGACUGACAAACUGCUGCUUUAGGACAGAUUACCAAACAGUAGGCUUAAUUCUUAAAUAUUUUAAUGACAUGUCUUUGGAUGCACAGAACUGAAAGAUAGUAUUUGGGAAUUUUUUUGGAAACACUUGUAUAUAUGCUUUCUAUUCAGCAAAGUUAUAAUAAAUAAUACAAAAUAGGCUGCACUGUAAAUGUUCAUGAUGUUACCAUUUACUUCCCAUCUCAGCAGAAUUAUGUUUUUGCUUACAGUAUCAAAAACAUUAACCUCAAGAUAAAACAAUAAUAACUAACACUGAUAAACGUUUUAAUUAAAGCCAAUAUAAAAAUGAUCCAAAGGGAUUUGGUAUAACUUUGUCGCUUUGCACUUUCUGUACUCUUGUGCCCAUUUCAAGCAGCCCUAUUGCUGUUACUAAAAAUGCAACCGCGCCUAACAAAUAAAGUGUGAGUGUUGUGAUUAUUAUUUAUGUUUACCGGACCAUUUAUACUUCUAAAAAUACCAAAAUAUUGUGCCUCACUGAUUAGUAUUCAAUUAUACGACAAGUUGAAAACAACAACAUUAAUGAGCAACACAGAGUGCUCUCCAUAGGCAGAAUCACCAGACCCCUGCUUCACCUACCCAUAUCAGAGUGGAAAUCUUGUUUUUUUUUCAUCUGUGGCUCACUUUGAGCUGCUAAACAAAAAUGACAUAUUUAUGCACAAUGGUUUAGAGAGAAUAUAUAAUACUGUUAACAAAAUCGAUUCAAGAUGCAUUAUUUACCUUGAGUUUCAUUUUUUUUUGCAGUAGUCCUGUGCACCCCCGAUGACCCUUAGAAGCAACCCCAGGGGUGAAAACCCCUGUAUUAGGAUAUUAGAAGCUUAGGAGAACUGAAGAUCUGUGGAAGUCCUCUGAUCCCACAACUACCCCACGGGAGCACCAAAGCCAGUGCAAUAUUUCCUGAAUCCCCAGUGAAGAUCAGCAACUUGGCACAAACAGGACACAAACCUGCACUCCCCUGACUAUGAUUCACCCUGCACAGUACACGGCCAUGCUUUUAUCAGUAAGUGUUCCGUACUGGGGGGAAGAGACCUAGGAUCACAGUCUGUUUAUCAUUCUGUGUAGGGAGAGGGGUUCUCAACUAAAUAGAUCCGGAUGUCGCCCAAGUCGAGGUCGGGGAGUUCAUGGCUCCAAAAGCACCAGCGAUGUACAAACUCCUAGAAUCUGGCACUUAUCUGUAUAUCUUUUCCUGACACUGGAGGUGAGAAGUGUGUUCUGUGGCAAAUAAUGCAUACUGUA